rnacentral:rRNA from 1 species
AUUGAACGCUGGCGGCAGGCUUAACACAUGCAAGUCGAGCGGAGAUGAGGUGCUUGCACCUUAUCUUAGCGGCGGACGGGUGAGUGAUGCUUAGGAAUCUGCCUAUUAGUGGGGGACAACAUUCCGAAAGGAAUGCUAAUACCGCAUACGUCCUACGGGAGAAAGCAGGGGAUCUUCGGACCUUGCGCUAAUAGAUGAGCCUAAGUCGGAUUAGCUAGUUGGUGGGGUAAAGGCCUACCAAGGCGACGAUCUGUUGCGGGUCUGAGAGGAUGAUCCGCCACACUGGGACUGAGACACGGCCCAGACUCCUACGGGAGGCAGCAGUGGGGAAUAUUGGACAAUGGGGGGAACCCUGAUCCAGCCAUGCCGCGUGUGUGAAGAAGGCCUUAUGGUUGUAAAGCACUUUAAGCGAGGAGGAGGCUACUGAGACUAAUACUCUUGGAUAGUGGACGUUACUCGCAGAAUAAGCACCGGCUAACUCUGUGCCAGCAGCCGCAGUAACAC